AUGAUAGACAUAUCAAGAUAGUUAUUCCUAGUUUCUUUACUACCUUUUGUAUCUUCUAUUUGUUCAAACUCGUAUAAUAUAAUAAUUGAAAUAUAUUUCUUUACGUCUCAAAUAUCUCUGACAAAAAGAAACAAGUUAUCUUUUUUCAGCUGUUCAAAUCAAUGUCAUGUUACAAAAGCACACCUAAAAUAUUGUUGAGAAUUUCUUAAAGUAUAUUAUCGCUUAGCUCCUUACGUCAAUUGGGAUGCGAUGUUGUAGGUCUUGCUCCAGUAAUACCAUUACUAUGGGCAUACAUGCCACACCAAAGCUUGUGCAAAUGAAGCUUUACGCCUAAUAAAACUUAUGGAUGAAGAAACUGAUCCAUGUACAAAUUUUUAUAAAUUCGCACGUGGCAAUUUCAUAAAAAGUGCUUCAUUAGACGAGGGAGACAAUACCAUUACGGAUAAUGCAAAUAGUGAAUUAUCAGAUUACACUAAUGCUGAAAUAACUGCUGAUGUGGAAUAUACUGAUUUAGAAGCAUUCAAGAAAACCAAAAUUUAUUAUCAAAACUGUAUUAAUGAGGCUCGAACAGAACAAGUUGGUAGCAGACAUCUUUUAAAAAUUUUAAAUAACAUUGGGGGAUGGCCGGUGCUGCUUGGUAACAGAUGGAAUGGACGCCGAUAUAACUGGAUGGAAACUGUUUAUAAAAUUGCGGAUGAAUAAUUUGUGGAAUAUUACUUUCCAGCAAGUAUAGCUGUUCAAUCCGACAAUGAAGAUACUUCAAAAAACGCCAUAAAAAUAAGUGGCGUGUCUUUGAAUAUUGGUCCAAAUUAUUUUGUAGAUGGACAAAGUAGCAAUGAAAUAUUGAAAUUGAAAUUUUUUUUCACUUUCCUUCAGAUAUGAAUUCGUCCAUUUUGUAGAAUUGCCAACUGGAUUUUUGAAAUAUUUGUUCAUAGUACCCGAAGAUAAUAUGAACGUAAAUGGAGAACUGUCGCAGGGUGAAAAUAUUGCUGACAACGGGGGUUUCAGAGCUGCUUAUCUUGCGUAUAACGAAUAUACGAGAUAUCACCAUAUCGUGGAAGGCUGCCUUCCGUCCCUCAAUUAUACACCUGAACAAAUGUUUUAGAUUAGUUUGGCAAGUGUAUGGUGUGCACAAGAACGUCCAGAGUUCAUCAAAUCAACAAUGCUCACAGAUACACACAGUCCAAAUGUAGCUAAAGUGAAUGUUGUUCUAUCUAAUAUUAAAGAGUUUGCGGAUGAUUUCAAGUGCAAGCUUGGAUCCAAAAUGAAUCCUCGUGAAAAAUGCAUGGUAUGGUAAACUAGAAUUGCCGAAGACAUUUUUGUGUAAAUGUACUAGCAAUUGAUGUCUGAUCAGCACUUAAAAAAAUUAUCGUCUUUCGAUUCUUUCAAAAAAUACUUAAUUAUAUAGCACAAAACUAUAUAAGUCGAUGUAAAUUCUAUAACUGUAAUUAUAAAUGAAAUUUUUAAUGAAAAAUCAUUUUAGCGCAAUUAUAUUGUAAUCUGAUUAGUAUACAUAUCAGAAAAAAAUAGAAAUACACUACAGUUCUUUAAGUAGAAAUAAAACUAUGUAA